ACAUUAAUCAUUUAAAACUAUCUAAAAAAAAAAAAAUAAUACCAAAAAAGCAUCAUCUUAUGACACGCACGACUCUGAAGAAAAGAAUGCAUUUUCAAUUAGUACCCACUGAAGGAUUUUACCUCAAUAAAAUACCUAAGGAAAAAAACGUGAAUAUCAGCAGUGAAUAUCAGACUACACGGAGGACGAAGGUAUCACAUAAUAAAAAAAGGAAAAAAAAAGCUGGAACCUUACCACUAUUAUUAUCAUUAAAUCUAAAAAUCUAAUUCUGCGGCAAAUGGACUAGGUCUAAAAAAAACUAUUUCUAAUUUCAGGAAAUUGAAGAAACAAGGUAUUUUUCAUUCUUAAAUUUUUUGCGCUGAAUUUUCAGAAGGCUGACCCAUCCCCGUAACUAGUGCCAUCUGGAGUUGAGGGGCAAUAGCAAAAAAGUCUAUUGCCCUUGCCCCUCAAAAAGUCAAAAGUUGAGGGGCAAUAGGCACGAUCCACUAAAAUUUGCCACUUUUUAGUGCCAAUGUGAGAGAUACUUCUUUUCACGAUUAUUUGCACGGUACGUUCGAUUGUUGUUUGAAGGAGGAUUGUCACCAGACAUCCUUUGAAUGGUACACCCACUAUCAGCAGCCUUACAGUGUGCUUCAUAAAUACAUCAACCCCUGAGAUCGUUGGAAAUUGUGUCUUUGUUCUCCACUCUUAUUAUUCACAUCCAAUUUUCACACUACUUCAUUACCUUCAUGGUAAUUCAUGGAAAACCAGGUGUGAUAUUAUAUCAUCCUGGAAAAAGAAUUCUGGAAAUUGAUGAUUUCUAAUAUACAGCUGAUUUUCAGAAUGAGCUUCCAAUUUGAAGUUGUGAGUGAUUUAUCGGAUUAUAUGGAUUCCUACUUUGAAAACCAAAUUAUUUCCUUCUACAAAUGGAUUUUGAAGUAUCGUACAUGUGGUAUUAUGUACUCAAUGAUAUCUUCACGAAGCCUUUAAUUGACGUUAUACAAAAAAAUUCCCAUGGGAGGAAGUUCUUUCAGGAUCUGUUAUCGAUCGUCUAUGUUAUGCAUGUAAUUGGAUCUGCAGUUUAGUUAGAAACUUUAACUUAGAACUUUAGCUCAGCAUAGAAUUUAUAUGAAAAAUGAUAUUUGAUUGGAAAAAGUUCCUGGUUGAGACAAGAGAUCAAAAAAAUGAUACUGUUUAGAAGGACGACCGGCAAUUUCAAGAUUCAUUUAUUUCCUUCCACAUUAAAGUAUUUAUAUAUAAUUUUAAAAUUGAA